GCGUCUGUGGAGCAGCAGUAUAGCUCAUUCACUUCCUACCCUUCAGGUAGGAACGAGAAGGACCCGGGUGCGAAUCCCGGCGGAUGCA